rnacentral:ncRNA from 1 species
CGAUCGGGGUGCUAUUCCGAACCAGAUGGAAUUGCUGAGAAAACACCCAUGAACCUGAUCUGGAUAAUGCCAGCGUAGGAAGCAUUA